rnacentral:lncRNA from 1 species
AUAAUUUUGUGUGGGCCAUUAGCAAAUUUUUUAUUUUAAGAGAGAUAAAUGCAAAAAAAGUCCUUUAACUUUCACCAAUAUUAUUAGGGAAAAACUUCAAAAACUUCUACUGUGAUUUUACAUUUUUUUAUUUUAGUACCCUAUAAUUUAAAGUGUAUCAAGUUAGUAUCCUGUGGUUUCUCACUUUAUCACUUUAGUACCAUAUGGUUUAAAGUGUAUCAAGUUAGUACCAUGUGGUUUUGCACUUUAUCACUUUAGUAUCCUGUGGUUUCACACUUUAUCACUUUAGUACCCUAUGGUUAAAAAAACCACUAGAUACUAACUUGAUACAAAAUUAAAACCACAGGGUACUUAAGUGAUAAAGUGCAAAACUAUAUGGUACUAACUUGAUACACUUUAAGCCAUAGAAUACUAAAGUGAUAAAGUGAGAAACCACAAGAUACUAACUUGAUACAUUUUAAACCACAGGGUACUAAAGUGAAAAAAAUUGAAACCACAAUGAAGGUUUUUAAAGUUUUCUCUAUUAUUAUUGAAACAAGCUUCUACUCUUUCUAAAUUCACAGUUCCUCCACAACUCCAUAUAUAACUUCUAAUCUGCAUUUUAAACC